rnacentral:rRNA from 1 species
GUGGGGAAUAUUGGGCAAUGGGGGAAACCCUGACCCAGCAACGCCGCGUGAAGGAAGAAGGUUUUCGGAUCGUAAACUUCUAUCCUUGGUGAAGAUAAUGACGGUAGCCAAGAAGGAAGCCCCGGCUAACUACGUGCCAGCAGCCGCGGUAAUACGUAGGGGGCAAGCGUUGUCCGGAAUGAUUGGGCGUAAAGGGCGCGUAGGCGGCCCGGUAAGUCUGAAGUGAAAGUCCUGCUUUUAAGGUGGGAAUUGCUUUGGAUACUGUCGGGCUUGAGUGCAGGAGAGGUAAGCGGAAUUCCCGGUGUAGCGGUGAAAUGCGUAGAGAUCGGGAGGAACACCAGUGGCGAAGGCGGCUUACUGGACUGUAACUGACGCUGAGGCGCGAAAGUGUGGGGAGCAAACAGGAUUAGAUACCCGGGUAGUCC